UAGGUAUAUCGGGCAACCGCUCUUUAUCUAUUUUAGGUCAAAAGAGAGGAAAGUCCGGACUCCAAACAAGAUAGAUGCCUUACAAGACAAUAUUUUUGUUCAAGUAAGGGAGGCGAAAGCCUACGGAAAGUGCCACAGAAAAUAUACCGCCCAAUUUUUGGGUAAGGGUGAAAAUGUGCGGUAAGAGCGUACAGAUAAACAGAGUAAUUUGUUUAUUCAGGUAAACCCCGUCUGGAGUAAGACAAAAUAAACAAGUUGUAAGUUUCUUGUUCUUUUUUUAAAACUUGUGGGUAUGUCGCAAAGAUAGAUGGUUGCCACUCUUUAAAGAGUACAGAAUCCGGCUUAUAGAUAUGCCUAAAAA
rnacentral:RNase_P_RNA from 1 species